AUAGACACCGGUGCAAACAAUCACCCGGUACCAAAAGCCGGCCUCUCGCUUCUCGAUAUUUCCAAGUCCCUGAUGACUCCUCACUCUUAUUUCUACCCCUCUCAUUUCUCCACCUCUCAUCUCUCUCUGCCUUAUCCUCUCUCGCUGAAGAAGUCGGGCGUGGAUAGGAUUCCGAGCGGCGGGGCGCCACUGCCACGGAGCGUGAGGAGCUGCCAGGCGUGCGGGCAGCUAGCCACUGGCCACUGCCGCCGCCAGGUGCUGCCGUGGUGCGCCGGCCGCCACCGCUGCCGCAGAGCGUGCGGGCUCCGCUUGCCGCCAUGCAGAAGAUCUUGGAGUUGGGCACCGCCGGUUGUUCUUGCUUGCUUUCUUCACGCGGCCGUUGUUCUUCUUGCUUGCUUGGAGUUCGGCACCACUGCUCCGCGCGGGAGACGGCCGUGGGAGCUAGCCCCCGUGGGGCGAGCAACUCUACCCGGAGGCAAGCGGGUCCACUCGGCGGCGAGCAACGGCGAGCGGAUCCGCGUGGCUGGCGCCGUGCGGCCGGAGAGAAGCUCCACGCGGGAGCUGGCCGUGGGAGCUAGCCCCUGUGGAGCGAGCAGCUCUAUCCGGCGGCGAGCGGGUCCACCUGGUGGCGAGCAACGACGAGCGGCUCCACGUGGCUGGCGAGAAGCUCCGCGGCGGGUGAGCCGCUCCGCGUGGCCGGCGAGGAGCUCCGUGGCGGGCGAGCAACUCCCGGCCGUGAAGUGUGGGCGGCCGCCGAGGAGUCCCAGUGGGCGAGCGAGAAGCCGCCGCAGUGGGUGAUUUUUUUCUUUUUUUCUUACUUUUCUGAAAUAGAGAUGUACGUGGAAUUGUAUGGAUUAAUUGUAUCUAUCUUGUGAUC